rnacentral:lncRNA from 1 species
GAUAAACAUGGAUUGGGUUUUCAGGAGGAGUCACUGGGACAAUAAAAAUUACUUGGAAAUCAGAAAGACCAGCAGGCGUUCCUCAGUGGCCCCUGACUAAAAAAAAAGAUACAAGCAGCCCAUGACCUGGUCAAACAACAAUUAGUGGAGGGACAUAUACAACCUUCUGUAUCUCCCUAUAAUACUCCCAUUUUUGUCAUCAAAAAGAAAUCUGGUAAAUGGAGAUUAUUGCAAGAUUUAAGAGCUAUUAAUAAUGAGAUGGUUAUCAUGGGACCUGCUCAAUCAGGGAUUCCUCGAUUAUCUGCUUUGCCAAAAACCUGGUAUGUUUUAGUUAUAGAUAUUAAAGAUUUUUUUUUUCCAUUCCAAUUCAUCCUGAGGAUAGUCCACAUUUUGCAUUUACUGUCCCUGCGCUGGAUCAUGAGGGUCCAGAUCAGCGAUAUGAAUGGAAAGUACUCCCUCAAGGGAUGGCUAACAGCCCAACUAUGUGUCAAAUUUAUGUUAACAAAGAAAUCCAGCCACUUAGAAAUCAAAAUCCUGAACUACAAAUAUUUCACUAUAUGGACGAUGUAUUAUUAGCACACAAAGAUAAAAACACAUUGCUAGAAUGUUAUGCCACACUUACAAACUUAUUAAAAAAUUAUAAUCUAGAGAUAGCAAUAGAUAAAGUACAAUUAAAUUUUCCAAUUA